GAUGAACGCUAGCUACAGGCUUAACACAUGCAAGUCGAGGGACCGGCGCACGGGUGAGUAACACGUAUCCAACCUGCCCUUUACUCGGGGAUAGCCUUUCGAAAGAGAGAUUAAUACCCGAUAUAAAGGAUGGGGAUGCGUUCCAUUAGGUUGUUGGUGAGGUAACGGCUCACCAAGCCUUCGAUGGAUAGUGGUUAUGAGAGGAAGGCCCCCCACAUUGGAACUGCGGCCCGGUCCAAACUCGUACGCGAGGCAGGAGUGAAGAAUAUUGGUGAAGCGGCGCUAGUCUGAACCAGCCAAGUAGAGUGAAGGAUGAAGGCUUAUGGGUCGUAAAUUUCUGUUAUAGAAGAAUAUGUAUUAUAUGAAUAAGGAUCGGCUAACUCCGUGCCAGCAGCCGCGGUAAUUC
rnacentral:rRNA from 1 species